GGUUCAGGAUGAACGCUAGCUACAGGCUUAACACAUGCAAGUCGAGGGGCAGCAUGAACUUAGCUUGCUAAGUUGAUGGCGACCGGCGCACGGGUGAGUAACGCGUAUCCAACCUGGCCCUUAGUAGGGGAUAGCCCGGCGAAAGUCGGAUUAGUACCCUAUGUUCUUCGAUGCGGACAUCUAAUUUGAAGCAAAGGUUCACCGCUAAGGGAUGGGGAUGCGUCCGAUUAGGUAGUAGGCGGGGUAACGGCCCACCUAGCCUUCGAUCGGUAGGGGUUCUGAGAGGAAGGUCCCCCACAUUGGAACUGAGACACGGUCCAAACUCCUACGGGAGGCAGCAGUGAGGAAUAUUGGUCAAUGGCCGAGAGGCUGAACCAGCCAAGUAGCGUGCAGGACGACGGCCCUAUGGGUUGUAAACUGUCUUUUAUCAGGGGAUAAAGUGAGGGACGUGUCCCUUUUUGUAGGUACCUGAUGAAUAAGGACCGGCUAAUUCCGUGCCAGCCGCAGC
rnacentral:rRNA from 1 species